UGCGCCCAAACUGGCAACCUCUUGGUACAAGGGACCACGCUCAACCAACUGAGCCACACUGGCCAGAGCUCUUCCAAGUUCCUUUUAUGUUUCUAGUUUCAGUUAUUACCUGUAGCCAGAGAUCACAGUUUAUGCCUCUGAAACUUUUCUUUCUUUCUCUAGGUGUAUAGUUUUCAGCAGUCAACUCCUCUCUUCAAGUGGAACCCAGGGCCUUUGCCGUGGCCACAAUUGGAGCCCUUGCAAGAAUCCUACAAGGGCAGGAACUUUCCCUCACUACUGGCCCCAACCUGAAUCCCUGCAGCCUCCAUGAAAACCCAAAAGGACAAGGUUAGGAGAGCUUCCAGGUCGGUGAACAUGUGGAGGUCCAGGGAGAGCAACACAACCCAGAUGGUGGUGGAAGCUUCUUGCCCUUUCCGCAUGCCUUACCCUCCGCAUGUCUUCCAUCUGACUGUUCCUGAGUUAUAUCCUUUUAUAGUAAAAGGGUGAUCUAGUAUGUAAAAUGUUUCUCUGAGUGAGCUGCAGUAGCAAAUUAAUUAAAUCCAAGGAAGGGUUGUUGGAACUCUCAUCUCUAGCUGAUCAAUCAGAAGCGUGGGUGACAACCUGGAUUUGUGACAGGGUGUGAAUUGGGGUGUGGUGAACAGCCUCAUGGGACUGAAUACUUACGGAAUUUGAUGCUCUCUGAGUGGGUAGUGUCAGAAUUGAGUUGACUUGUAGGGCACCUAGCUGGUGUCUAAGAAUUGUUUGGUGUGGGGAGGGAUCCCACACAUUAGAAUUGGAGUCAGAGUCAUUAAUGCAUCAGAGAAAGAUAAAAUCUGCCAUAUCCCUGGGAUUCACAAAAAACGAGCAUGGAAGUAAGGAUAAGAUUAGAACAGAUGCAGAGAUAGAGCUUUCAAAAACGGUGGAAAGCCAACUCAAAAUUUUUUAGGUAAGUGGAGGCUGGGGGGGG